rnacentral:rRNA from 1 species
UGGGGAAUAUUGGGCAAUGGGCGAAAGCCUGACCCAGCAACGCCGCGUGAAGGAAGAAGGCUUUCGGGUUGUAAACUUCUUUUAUGUGGGACGAAAAAAAUGACGGUACCACAUGAAUAAGCCACGGCUAACUACGUGCCAGCAGCCGCGGUAAUACGUAGGUGGCAAGCGUUAUCCGGUUUUACUGGGUGUAAAGGGCGUGUAGGCGGGACUGCAAGUCAGAUGUGAAAUUCCAGGGCUCAACCCUGGACCUGCAUUUGAAACUGUGGUUCUUGAGUGAUGGAGAGGCAGGCGGAAUUCCCUGUGUAGCGGUGAAAUGCGUAGAUAUAGGGAGGAACACCAGUGGCGAAGGCGGCCUGCUGGACAUUAACUGACGCUGAGGCGCGAAAGCGUGGGGAGCAAACA